CCUGCCCCUACAGGUGUUUCAGGUGCCACAUGUGCAGCAAGAGGUGGUAGAUUGGAGAGAGGCUAUAUCUACAUUCAGUGUUCUGAACUACAAAGCCUGAGACAACCAACAGUCUAACCAG
ensembl:snoRNA Gm25824 predicted gene, 25824